rnacentral:lncRNA from 1 species
CUCCCAUUGGCUGCGCCGCCGCCGGAAGUGACGCCGCGCGGGGCGGGCGGGCCGGAAGGAGUUGGGCGGAGCCUCGCCUGAGGUGACGCCGCCAUCUUGGCCUGCGCCCAUGGCCGCUAACGGGGACCAACGGGCACCGGAUUGGACCGGAAGUCUGGAGCCUGCGGCCCACGAGAACCCCGAGUGGGAGAAGGCCCGAAGAGCCCUAGAGAGUAUCGGGAAAGGGGGCGGGGCCAAAGGGGGCGGGGCUCAGUACUCCUCAUCACAGGGGGACCCCAACCUGCAGCAGACCCCCUACUACCAAUGGUACCAGCCCUAUAGCAGCUACUACCCCUAUGGCUACUACUACCCUAUGGGGGUUUACUCCGGUUAUGGGGCCACGACGACGCAGACAACGGCAGCCUAUGGGGCAGGGGGGGGCUAUGCUGCUGCCCCACAGCAGGCCCCACAGCAGAGCGGCCUGGGGCAGGUGAGGGGGGACCCACAUAUUGCACUAUGGGGGGGACCCAUAUAUCACAUUAUGGGGGGGUCCCACACAUUACAUUG